rfam:Nomascus leucogenys chromosome 12, whole genome shotgun sequence.
AUCGCUUCUCGGCCUUUUGGCUAAGAUCAAGUGUAAAAUAUAUUCUAGGAGAUAUCAAGUACCUGCGUGAUUAGAAAGUUUUUUCAUGUGAUUUUGGAUUAAAUAGAUGUAGUAUUAAAGUGAAUUCACUUUUGUGUUUCUGACAACAUUUAUGGGAGUUUUGGCAUUAGAGUCAUAACCGGGUGUAGGUCUA